UGGGGAAUAUUGCACAAUGGGCGCAAGCCUGAUGCAGCCAUGCCGCGUGUGUGAAGAAGGCCUUCGGGUUGUAAAGCACUUUCAGCGAGGAGGAAGGGUUCAGUGUUAAUAGCACUGUUCAUUGACGUUACUCGCAGAAGAAGCACCGGCUAACUCCGUGCCAGCAGCCGCGGUAAUACGGAGGGUGCAAGCGUUAAUCGGAAUUACUGGGCGUAAAGCGCACGCAGGCGGUUUGUUAAGUCAGAUGUGAAAUCCCCGCGCUUAACGUGGGAACUGCAUUUGAAACUGGCAAGCUAGAGUCUUGUAGAGGGGGGUAGAAUUCCAGGUGUAGCGGUGAAAUGCGUAGAGAUCUGGAGGAAUACCGGUGGCGAAGGCGGCCCCCUGGACAAAGACUGACGCUCAGGUGCGAAAGCG
rnacentral:rRNA from 1 species